rfam:Rattus norvegicus chromosome 5, whole genome shotgun sequence.
GGGGAUUUGGCUCAGUGGUAGAGCGCUUGGCUAGGAAGCGCAAGGUCCUGGGUUCGAUCCCCAGCCCCG